GCGGGUGUAAAUAAUUUAGGUGGUUACCGCCAAAUUUUUCUUCCCAAGGAAAGUCCACUAAUUAACCCUUAUGUACCCCAUACUUAUAACCACAUACCCUCUAAAAAAAUUCUCACAAAAAUAACCCCACACUCCCCUAAAAAGUCUAAAAUACCCUUAAGAAAAAUUUGGGCUUCCCUUUCUCUCUCUUUCUUUAUCCCCAGUUCAUGGCAGCCACCACCUGCCGCCUGAAACCAUGAAACAGCCCCCAUCAUUCAUGAGAGUUAUAGAAUCUGGCACAUUGAAGGAUUCGAACUUAGUUCGAUCUAGGUCUGAACUCCAUUGAAAUUUUUGGUUUUACGUUGUGAUUCAGACAUGAUAGGCGAAAAUGGUAUGAUUUAGGUCCGAAUAUGUCCGAAAAUUGAUGUACGGAACCCGUCAUGUACGAUCCUAAUCUGAACUAUGUAUGAAAAUAGUCGGAACCAUGUUCGAAAAUGGUCCGAGUCCGAAAAUAGUUGAUGUCCGAACCCAUGCCCGAACUCACGUCCGUACCCAUUUUUUGACGUUUCGGACAGCGGUGGGGCGUUGUUUUGUGGUGUGAGUAUGUGUGAGGGUGGUGGUGGCUGCCGUGAGUAAGUGUGAGGGUAGUGGUGGCUGUCGUGAAGAAAGAGAGAAAGGUCAGAAGCCCUAAUUUUACUUAAGGGUAUUUUUGACUUUUCAAGGGGUAAUGGGGUUAUUUUUGUGAGAAUUUUUUUAGAGGGUAUGUGGUUAUAAAUAUGGGGUAAAUAAGGUUAAUUAGUGGACUUUCCUCAUCAAUGAGGAGGAAGUUUGUUAAAGUAAAGAUAAAUUAAUACUUUUUUUUUGUACACCA